AUUGAACGCUGGCGGCAGGCCUAACACAUGCAAGUCGAGCGGAUGCAGGGAGCUUGCUCUUGGAUUCAGCGGCGGACGGGUGAGUAAUGCCUAGGAAUCUGCCUGGUAGUGGGGGAUAACGUCCGGAAACGGGCGCUAAUACCGCAUACGCCCUGAGGGAGAAAGCGGGGGAUCUUCGGACCUCACGCUAUCAGAUGAGCCUAGGUCGGAUUAGCUAGUUGGUGGGGUAAAGGCCUACCAAGGCGACGAUCCGUAACUGGUCUGAGAGGAUGAUCAGUCACACUGGAACUGAGACACGGUCCAGACUCCUACGGGAGGCAGCAGUGGGGAAUUUUGGACAAUGGGGGAAAGCCUGAUCCAGCCAUGCCGCGUGUGUGAAGAAGGUCUUCGGAUUGUAAAGCACUUUAGGUAGGGAGGAAGGGCAGUAAGUUAAUACCUUGCUGUUUUGACGUUACCAACAGAAUAAGCACCGGCUAACUUCGUG
rnacentral:rRNA from 1 species